UAACAAGGAUUCCCCUAGUAACUGCGAGUGAAGCGGGAAGAGCUCAAAUUUAAAAUCUGGCGGUUUCACGUCCGAGUUGUAAUCUGGAGAAGCAUUUUCCGCGUUGGACCGUGUACAAGUCUCUUGGAAUAGAGCGUCAUAGAGGGUGAGAAUCCCGUCCAUGACACGGACUACCAGUGCUUUGUGAUAUGCUCUCAAAGAGUCGAGUUGUUUGGGAAUGCAGCUCAAAAUGGGUGGUAAAUUCCAUCUAAAGCUAAAUAUUGGCGAGAGACCGAUAGCGAACAAGUACCGUGAGGGAAAGAUGAAAAGCACUUUGGAAAGAGAGUUAAACAGUACGUGAAAUUGUUGAAAGGGAAACGCUUGAAGUCAGUCGCGUUGUCCGGGACUCAGCCUUGCUAUUUGCUUGGUGUACUUCCUGGUUGACGGGUCAACAUCAAUUUUGGCUGGUGGAUAAAGGCUGAGAGAAGGUGGCAUCUUCGGAUGUGUUAUAGCUCUUGGUUGCAUACGCUGGCUGGGAUUGAGGUCUGCAGCACGCCUUUUUGGCCGGGGUUCGCCCACGUAACGUGCUUAGGAUGUUGGCAUAAUGGCUUUAAGCGACCCGUCUUGAAACACGGACCAAGGAGUCUAACAUGCCUGCGAGUAUUAGAGUGGAAAACUCUUGUGCGAAAUGAAAGUGAAAGUUGGGACUCUUUGCGGAGGCACCAACGCCCGGCCCUGAAGUUUACUGACGGUGCUGCGGUAGAGCAUGUAUGUUGGGACCCGAAAGAUGGUGAACUAUGCCUGAAUAGGGUGAAGCCAGGGGAAACUCUGGUGGAGGCUCGUAGCGAUUCUGACGUGCAAAUCGAUCGUCAAAUUUGGG
rnacentral:rRNA from 1 species